GGGCUCGUGGUCUAGCGGUUAUGACGUCGCCCUUACAAGGCGGAGAUCCCCGGUUCGAAUCCGGGCGAGCCCA
rnacentral:tRNA from 2 species